rnacentral:lncRNA from 1 species
CAGCAGGUUCCUGUCAUUGGGACUCUGGACUGGGAGUCUAGAUGCCUGUAACUGACCUCUAGGCAUUUCUUUUGGCAAAUCACUUAAUUUUCUGUAUUUCAUUUCCUUCACCUCUCAAGAAGAGUUAAUGAUACCUUCCUUAACAAAGGACUGCCUGCUUCAGUUGGUGUUCAGAAGACAUAGGCGUCACUUAAUGACCUGCUGUUCAAACUAUGCUCUGCGGACAACAUUAAUAGCCUUCCCUGCAAUUGCUGUGGUAUGUUUGAAACCUAAAAAAUGUGGAAACUGA